AACGAACGCUGGCGGCAUGCCUAACACAUGCAAGUCGAACGAGACCUUCGGGCUUAGUGGUGCAUGGGUGCGCAAAGCGUGGGAACCUGCCUUUAGGUUUGGCAUAACUCCCCGAAUGGGGUCCUAAUACCGGCUCUUGUCCUCGGACCAAAGUUUUAUCGCCUUUGGAUGGGCGUGGGUUGGAUAAGCUAGUUGGUAGGGUAAAAGCCUAUCACGGCGUCGUUCCAUAGCUGGUUUGAGAGGAUGAUCAGCCACACUGGGCCUGGGACACGGCCCGGACUACUACGGAAGGCAGGAAUGGGGAAUAUUGGACAGUGGGCGAAGGCCUGAACGAGCAAGGCCGCGUAAGUGAUGAAGGCCUGAAGGUAGUAAAGCUCGUUUACCCGGGAUGAUAAUGACAGUACCGGGAGAAUAAGCACCGGCUAACUCCGUG
rnacentral:rRNA from 1 species